CUACGGGGUGCAGCAGUGAGGAAUAUUGCACAAUGGGGGGAACCCUGAUGCAGCAACGCCGCGUGGAGGAUGACGCAUUUCGGUGUGUAAACUCCUUUUAUAUGUCAAGAAAAUGACGGUAGCAUAUGAAUAAGCACCGGCUAACUCCGUGCCAGCAGCCGCGGUAAUACGGAGGAUGCAAGCGAUACUCGGAAUCACUGGGCGUAAAGGACGCGUAGGCGGGUUGGAAAGUCAGGUGUGAAAUCCUACAGCUUAACUGUAGAACUGCACUUGAAACUUCUAAUCUAGAGUAUGGGAGGGGGAGAUGGAAUUAGUGGUGUAGGGGUAAAAUCCGUAGAUAUCACUAGGAAUACCUAAAGCGAAGGCAAUCUCCUGGAACAUUACUGACGCUAAGGCGUGAAAGCGUGGGGAGCAAACAGGAUUAGAUACCCCAGUAGUC
rnacentral:rRNA from 1 species